rnacentral:rRNA from 1 species
UGGGGAAUUUGGACAAUGGGCGAAAGCCUGAUCCAGCAAUGCCGCGUGUGUGAAGAAGGCCUUCGGGUUGUAAAGCACUUUUGUCCGGAAAGAAAUCCUUGGCUCUAAUACAGUCGGGGGAUGACGGUACCGGAAGAAUAAGUACCGGCUAACUACGUGCCAGCAGCCGCGGUAAUACGUAGGGUGCAAGCGUUAAUCGGAAUUACUGGGCGUAAAGCGUGCGCAGGCGGUUUGCUAAGACCGAUGUGAAAUCCCCGGGCUCAACCUGGGAACUGCAUUGGUGACUGGCAGGCUAGAGUAUGGCAGAGGGGGGUAGAAUUCCACGUGUAGCAGUGAAAUGCGUAGAGAUGUGGAGGAAUACCGAUGGCGAAGGCAGCCCCCUGGGCCAAUACUGACGCUCAUGCACGAAAGCGUGGGGAGCAAACAGGAUUAGAUACCCUGGUAGUCCACGCCCUAAACGAUGUCAACUAGUUGUUGGGGAUUCAUUUCCUUAGUAACGUAGCUAACGCGUGAAGUUUGACCGCCUGGGGAGUACGGUCGCAAGAUUAAAAA